rnacentral:rRNA from 1 species
AUGUCUUCUUAGAGGGACAAUCGACCGUCUAGGUGAUGGAGGCAAAAGGCAAUAACAGGUCUGUGAUGCCCUUAGAUGUUCCGGGCUGCACGCGCGCUACACUGACAGAGACAACGAGUGGUUCCCCUUGUCCGAAAUGACUGGGUAAACUUGUGAAACUUUGUCGUGCUGGGGAUGGAGCUUUGUAAUUUUUGCUCUUCAACGAGGAAUUCCUAGUAAGCGCAAGUCAUCAGCUUGCGUUGACUACGUCCCUGCCCUUUGUACACACCGCCCGUCGCUACUACCGAUUGAAUGGCUUAGUGAGGCCUCCAGAUUGGCUA